UUCUGCCAGUGGCUCAAGACUACAGGCGUGAACUAGGUGCUGGGAUAUCCCUUACCGGCAAAGGGGGGACCGGAGCUUUAAUCACCACCACUGGUUCCAGCAGAGAUGCCAGCCGCCACUCCUGCGCUCGCUCUCUCUGGUAGGCCGCAAGAAUCCUGUCGAGCUCAGGCUAGAGUUCUUGCCUCCGGGGGCUUCUAGCUUAGCAAGAUGUUGUCAUCAGUGUAAGCAAUGCUGUUUACUACAGUAUAGUCGGUAGAAUAGGACAAUUCUGAGUUCUCUCACGGAGCUCGUCUGAACUGCGAUCUAUCAGUAUGGCGGUCAGGCCCCGCCUCCCCCCCACCCCCUGCAGAUAGAUAUUCACCACCAAUACUUAAC